CAGCACGCCGCGUGGGGGAAGAAGGCUUUCGAGUCGUAAACCCCUUUUGCAGGGGAAGAAGAUCUGACGGUACCCUGCGAAUAAGCCACGGCUAACUACGUGCCAGCAGCCGCGGUAAUACGUAGGUGGCAAGCGUUGUCCGGAUUUACUGGGCGUGAAGGGCGUGUAGGCGGUCCGUUAAGUUCGGGGUGAAAUCUCCCGGCUCAACUGGGAGCGGUCCCCGGAUACUGAUGGACUUGAGGGGGGUAGAGGAAGGCGGAAUUCCCGGUGUAGCGGUGAAAUGCGUAGAUACCGGGAGGAACACCGGUGGCGAAGGCGGCCUUCUGGGCCUACCCUGACGCUGAGGCGCGAAAGCGUGGGGAGCAAACCGGAUUAGAUACCCGGGUAGUCCACGCCCUAAACGUUGGACACUAGGUGUGGGGGGUAUCGACCCCCUCCGUGCCGCAGCUAACGCUUUAAGU
rnacentral:rRNA from 1 species